rnacentral:lncRNA from 1 species
CUCCUAUCUCUUCUCCUUCCACCGCUGGUAGCCGCCGCCUCUCUCCGUCUCCCCGCAGCGGAGCAUCAACGCCGCCAACAUCUAUUCACCGUCGCUGAUAUAGCAUUUCAUAAUCAAAUCUUCUUCUUCAGUUCUUGGGGCAUUGCUUAAAAACUGUUAAAAUAUUAUAUUUGUUUGAGCAAAUAUGAAUUGAAAUAGUAAUACGGAUAAGAACAAAUAUACUAUUUUCUUGUUUU